rnacentral:rRNA from 1 species
GCGUGCGUGAAGAAGGCCUUAGGGUUGUAAAGCGCUUUCGACGGGGAAGAUGAUGACGGUACCCGUAGAAGAAGCCCCGGCUAACUCCGUGCCAGCAGCCGCGGUAAUACGGAGGGGGCUAGCGUUGUUCGGAAUUACUGGGCGUAAAGGGCGCGUAGGCGGACCAUCAAGUCAGGGGUGAAAGGCCUGGGCUCAACCCGGGAACUGCCUUUGAAACUGAAGGUCUAGAGUCCGAGAGAGGAUAGCGGAAUUCCCAGUGUAGAGGUGAAAUUCGU